AAUAGAUACCCUGGUAGUCCACGCCGUAAACGAUGAGUGCUAAGUGUUAGAGGGUUUCCGCCCUUUAGUGCUGCAGCUAACGCAUUAAGCACUCCGCCUGGGGAGUACGGCCGCAAGGCUGAAACUCAAAGGAAUUGACGGGGGCCCGCACAAGCGGUGGAGCAUGUGGUUUAAUUCGAAGCAACGCGAAGAACCUUACCAGGUCUUGACAUCCUCUGACAACCCUAGAGAUAGGGCUUUCCCCUUCAGGGGACAGAGUGACAGGUGGUGCAUGGUUGUCGUCAGCUCGUGUCGUGAGAUGUUGGGUUAAGUCCCGCAACGAGCGCAACCCUUGAUCUUAGUUGCCAGCAUUCAGUUGGGCACUCUAAGGUGACUGCCGGUGACAAACCGGAGGAAGGUGGGGAUGACGUCAAAUCAUCAUGCCCCUUAUGACCUGGGCUACACACGUGCUACAAUGGAUGGUACAAAGGGCUGCAAACCUGCGAAGGUAAGCGAAUCCCAUAAAGCCAUUCUCAGUUCGGAUUGC
rnacentral:rRNA from 1 species